AGUUAUUAUAUCCAUAUAUAUAUCUAUAUAUAUCUAUAUAUAUCUAUAUAUAGAUAUAUAUAUGGAUAUAAUAACUAU